ACAACAACAACAAAACCCUCCUGGAGCUAUUAAGUGAUUACGGCAAGGUUGCAGAAUACAAGCUCGGACUCUGGGCUCUCCGACCUGGCCACUGUGAUCUGCAGCCAAGAAAUGAAUCUCUCUAGGAAAGAGAUCUAGAAUCAACGGAGAAAUGCUUUUUUAACUCUCCAGUUACUUUAAUGAGUGCGGGACACACUGGGACACACUGGACUUGAUAUAAGUUCUGGGGCAUGCCCAGUCUCCUGCAGAAGAUGGUAUGCGGCGGAAGUAUUCCAGCUCAGGUGAGGAAGCUGAGGACUCAGAAAUUAAAUAACUUGCCUAAGGUGGCAGAGCUCUCUUCAAAAAGAUAAUCGUGUAAGACAGACUGGCUAUGCAUUAGCGCAGUGUUCUUCAAA